CGCAGUUCUUAAUCACACGUAUACCUGGAUAAGUUUGUACCACUACAAUGCUUAACUCAUGAAUCUAAAUUUUUAGAAAUAAAAUAAAUUCCGACAAACCAGGGGUUUAUAGAUACGACCGUAAAUUACUUUCAGUUUCAUUUUCUGUUCCUAGUAAUUUUAAAAUUCGGGAGUGCUUUUACUUUCGUUUUGAUUUACUGUAAAGACCUUACUUUUACUUUUAGUGAAGAAUUGAAUAGUUACACAAAGUUAGAGCUUAUAAGUUAGAGCAGUAUACCGUUUCCAGAGAACACUAUCCAGUCGAUAUCCGUAGCAUCUUGUGGUACACUACUUGGAUUGUGUCUGUAAAGUUCAAAGAUUAAAUUUCUUUACAGUACGCACUGUAAUUGAUUUUUUAUGAAACGUACAAUGCAUUUGUGGUAACUUAAAGCUAAUGUAAUUUCUGUCAUUU